GAAAGGCUGUGGUUUAGUAGUAGAACAUCUGCUUGGCAUGUAGAAGGCCCGGGUUUGAUUUAUGGCAUCUUCA
rnacentral:tRNA from 1 species